CGACUGCUAAUACCGCAUAAGCCCACGGCUCGGCAUCGAGCAGAGGGAAAAGGAGCAAUCCGCUUUGAGAUGGCCUCGCGUCCGAUUAGCUAGUUGGUGAGGUAACGGCCCACCAAGGCAACGAUCGGUAGCCGGACUGAGAGGUUGAACGGCCGCAUUGGGACUGAGACACGGCCCACUCCUACGGGAGGCAGCAGUGGGGAAUAUUGCACAAUGGGGGAAACCCUGAUGCAGCGACGCCGCGUGGAGGAAGAAGGUCUUCGGAUUGUAAACUCCUGUUGUUGAGGAAGAUAAUGACGGUACUCAACAAGGAAGUGACGGCUAACUACGUGCCAGCAGCCGCGGUAAAACGUAGGUCACAAGCGUUGUCCGGAAUUACUGGGUGUAAAGGGAGCGCAGGCGGGAAGACAAGUUGGAAGUGAAAUCCAUGGGCUCAACCCAUGAACUGCUUUCAAAACUGUUUUUCUUGAGUGGUGCAGAGGUAGGCGGAAUUCCCGGUGUAGCGGUGGAAUGCGUAGAUAUCGGGAGGAACACCAGUGGCGAAGGCGGCCUACUGGGCACCAACUGACGCUGAGGCUCGAAAGUGUGGGUAGCAAACAGGAUUAGAUGCCCUGGUAGUCCACACUGUAAACGAUGAUUACUAGGUGUUGGAGGAUUGACCCCUUCAGUGCCGCAGUUAACACAAUAAGUAAUCCACCUGGGGAGUACGACCGCAAGGUUGAAACUCAAAGGAAUUGACGGGGGCCCGCACAAGCAGUGGAGUAUGUGGUUUAAUUCGACGCAACGCGAAGAACCUUACCAAGUCUUGACAUCCCUUGACGAUGCUGGAAACAGUAUUUCUCUUCGGAGCAAGGAGACAGGUGGUGCAUGGUUGUCGUGAGCUCGUGUCGUGAGAUGUUGGGUUAAGUCCCGCAACGAGCGCAACCCUUAUGGUCAGUUACUACGCAAGAGGACUCUGGCCAGACUGCCGUUGACAAAACGGAGGAAGGUGGGGAUGACGUCAAAUCAUCAUGCCCUUUAUGACUUGGGCUACACACGUACUACAAUGGCGUUAAACAAAGAGAAGCAAGACCGCGAGGUGGAGCAAAACUCAGAAACAACGUCCCAGUUCGGACUGCAGGCUGCAACUCGCCUGCACGAAGUCGGAAUUGCUAGUAAUCGCAGAUCAGCAUGCUGCGGUGAAUACGUUCCCGGGCCUUGUACACACCGCCCGUCACACCAUGAGAGCCGGGGGGACCCGAAGUCGGUAGUCUAACCGCAAGGAGGACGCCGCCGAGGGUAAAACUGGUGAUUGGGGUGAAGUCGGAACAAGGUA
rnacentral:rRNA from 1 species